rnacentral:tRNA from 1 species
GCUGGCGUAGCUCAACGGUAGAGCAGCUGACUUGUAAUCAGCAGGUUGCGGGUUCAAGUCCCAUCGCCAGCUCCA